GCUGGGUGUGGUGGCGGACGCCUGUAAUCCCAGCUUCUCGGGAGGCUGAGGCAGAAGAAUCACUUGAGUCCAGGAGGCGGCGGCUGCAGUGAGCCAAGAUCACACCACUGCAUUCCAGCCUGGGCAACAGAGCGAGACUCAGCCUCAA
ensembl:misc_RNA Metazoa_SRP Metazoan signal recognition particle RNA